UUCACUUCACUCGCCGCUUUUCUUUCUAUCAAAUUACUCCCACAUUCAUGUCUCUUGCAUUUGCAUCAAAUGCAAUUUCACUCUCUUAUUCAAUCCUUCAAAUCCGUUCCAACUAUGAUAGCCAAGCCAUUGAAGAUUUCUAUCAUUUGUUCCCGUGGAAUGUCUAUUGAGGAUGAUUAUGUUAUUAUAUCGGCGGUAAUUUCUUUGAUUAAACAACAUAUAAAGUCUCUGUCUUAACGGUGACGUUAAUUACUCUAGAUCUAUGAAAUCAGUUGGUUUCAUAACUGUGUUAUUUUAUUGGAUAAUAGUAAAAUCGUUAAAAUAAGAUGGUGUGGUGUUUUGAUCGGAAAUAAUGUUCCAGGUGUAGGUGAAGUUUCAAUAAUAUAUGUCCCAAACUUGAUUAGGGUAGUUUACUAUUUUAUAUUUGGAUUGAGGAGUUUGUAAUUUAAAAUAUAAUGAAUGAAUAAAGAUGUUUCUAUUUUGCAUUGCA